GUAGUCGGAUUUGCAUCAAUCUACAUGUGUUGGAGUGGAUUGAAGUGAAACUUGAACUAAAUUCUACCUCAAUCCAUUCCAACACAUGUGGAUUGAGGUGAAUCCAACA
rfam:Sorghum bicolor cultivar BTx623 chromosome 3, whole genome shotgun sequence.